UUAAUUCAACUGACAGUGUAGAGGAAGAAUAAACGUUUUAUUUCAACAAACAGUCCUACCAUCUGGGCAGGAUGAAACCUUAUUCUCUGAUAGCCGUUUCUGUCUUCUUAGCCUUGACAUAUCUGAUGGAAAUCGUUGCUGGGGAGUGCUAUAUCGACGGUAGAGUGUUCCAACAUUUGGAGACGACCGACAGAUUUGGAAUGUGCUGGUGUAUUGUCAGCAGAGAGGCCUGUGCUUGAGAGAAACAAUCUGUAUAUUUGAAGUGCUGAUAGAGCUUGGAAAGUGAAAAUAAUUUAAAAUAAACUUGGAAACGUG